ensembl:sense_intronic
CAGGUUUAAAAUGCUGUGGCUGCUGAGAACAAUGUGCUUUAUCCAUGUACUUGGAAAAAUAUUUUGUUUAUUUGGACCAAACAAGAAUCCUGAAUCUAAAAUGAAUGUUAGUGAGAUUAUUAAACACUGGGAAUAUCCAAGUGAAGAAUAUGAGACUGUGACUGAUGAUGGUUAUAUUCUUCCAAUUAACCGAAUUCCACAUGGGAAGGAUAAUGCUAAUAAUUCAGCCCCAAAGAUGGUAGUACUUUGUGUCCCUGGCUUGUUUUCAACUGCUGGUGUAUGGGUUUCCAAUCCUCCUGACAAAUGACGUGUGGUUGGGAAACAACAGAGGAAGUACCUGGGCAAAGAAACAUGUGACCCUCAACCCAGAUUCUAAAGAAUUCUGGGCUUUUAGUUAUGAUGAGAUGAUAACAUAUGACCUUACAGCCAUCAUUAAUUUCAUUCUGGAGAAAACAGGACAAAAGCAGAUUUACUAUAUUGGCCAUUCUCAAGGAACCCUAAUCGCUCUAGGGGCAUUUUCAACAAAUCAAGAACUGGCUGAAAAGAUUAAAUUCAGCAUUUUACUAGCUCCAGUUCGUACUGUUAAAUAUGUCAAAGGUUCUGGGCGCCUUCCAGCUUAUUUCACUCCAAAAGCUUUCAAGAUCCUUUUUAUACUUACUCAUAAAGUGUGUAAAUCUCUAGGACUUAAAUUUAGUAGCCAUUGAUUAGUCAUUACAUUACUAUCAUUAAGAUAGAAAAUGUACUGGAUUUAUCUGGGCCAAUGUGUCAUUACUGUAAAAUGAGGCAACAGAACUCAAUAAAUGUUGAUUAUGUCAUAAUGUAAGUCUUUGUAAUUAAUGGUAUAUUUUCUCUGUAUUUUAGGCCACUAGAAGUGGUGUAUUUCAGGCUUAUGAUUGGGGAAGUCCAUCUCUGAAUAUGCAACACACUACUCCUCCUAUAUACCAUGUGGAAGAUAUGAAGGUUCCAACUGCCAUGUUUACUGGUUUAAAAGAUUUUUUGUCUAACCCAGAAGAUGUUGCAAAUUUGGUACCCAAAAUCUCCAACCUCACAUACCAUAAGAUUAUUUCUGAUUUCAGUCAUCUUGAUUUUAUAACAGGAUUAAAUGCUAGGGAAGAGGUUUCUGAGGAAAUUUUAACAAUUCUUAGGAAAUAUGACGGUGACAUAUAGCUUUAGCUUUUCACAUGUUUUUAAACCUUUCUGAAAGUCUCUUGCUAUUAUAAGUGAAAAUAUUUUCUUGCUUGGCAUUUUCCUCCCUAAUUAUCUUUUUUAAAAGCUAUUGGUUCAUUUGUUGGUUCAUUUGCAUUAGUGAAAUCUAUGACUAUCAAGAGAAUACUUCAUCUUGUGACUGUUUUUAAUUAAUCUAAGUUUAUAUAUUUUUGAUGUGAUUUUUUUUCUGAAGAAAAGAAUUGCUUUCAAUUUACAGUAAUGAAAUCCCAAUAUACUGAUAAAAAAAAGAGGACUGGCCCAUUCUGUGAUAUCAGAUAUGAUGCUGUCUGAAGAACACAUAACACAUUUCAUACAUUAGGUCACAACACCGAUGUGGACCAGCCACUUUUGAAUAAGUCACUUAUGUCAGUAUUCUCUGGCAUUAGUGGAAGAGGAAACAUUUAAAGUGAUAUAAGAUAUUAAAAAUUAUCCACAGAAUUGAUCAUUCAUUCCCUAUAUAUAAUAGAGUAUUUUGAAUUCUCCUUGCAACACAAAGUGACGACAAAUUCAAACACACAAUUUUAAUUUUAUUAUUAAACUUUUAAUCUAAUUCUGAUUUUUUAAUCCUAAAGUAAUAAUUCCGGGCAUAGUUUACAUAUUAUAAAGAGUAACCAUGCCCAGUCUCAAAUGUAGUAUUCUUGCAAUAUUUUCCAUGAUUAUAAACAUGUGUGUGUGCAUGUGCACAUGUAUGUUAAGUUCCUUCUAUUCCAAGUUUCUGCCUUUGGUCCAUUUAUAUGAUCAUGUAUUGCAUUUAUUGGCUUGGAAUAUGUCAAAUUUUCCCUGUAGUAUUUCUGGAAUAAAGCCAACUUAUUAA